rnacentral:rRNA from 1 species
GAUGAACGCUGGCGGCGUGCCUAAUACAUGCAAGUUAAGCGAACAGACGAGGAGCUUGCUCCUCUGACUUUAUCGGCGGAUGGGUGAGUAACACGUGGAUAACCUACCUAUAAGACUGGGAUAACUUCGGGAAACCGGAGCUAAUACCGGAUAAUAUAUUGAACCGCAUGGUUCAAUAGUGAAAGACGGUUUUGCUGUCACUUAUAGAUGGAUCCGCGCCGCAUUAGCUAGUUGGUAAGGUAACGGCUUACCAAGGCAACGAUGCGUAGCCGACCUGAGAGGGUGAUCAGCCACCCUAGACCUGACACACGGUCCACAACCCGACGGAAGGCAGCCGAAGGAGCUCUUCCGCAUUGAGCGAAAUCCUGACGUAGGAACGCCGCGUGUGCAUUUGAGGUGUACGACACGGAAGACUCAGUUAGUAACGGAGAACAAGUGUGUAAGUUACUAUGCACGUCUGGAGGGGACAUAAUCAGAAGUGCACCGCUAAAUACAUG